AUACGAAGGGGGCUAGCGUUGUUCGGAAUUACUGGGCGUAAAGCGCGCGUAGGCGGACUGAUCAGUUGGGGGUGAAAUCCCAGGGCUUAACCCUGGAACUGCCUCCAAUACUGUCAGUCUUGAGUUCGGGAGAGGUGAGUGGAAUUCCUAGUGUAGAGGUGAAAUUCGUAGAUAUUAGGAAGAACACCAGUGGCGAAGGCGGCUCACUGGCCCGAUACUGACGCCGAGGCGCGAAAGCGUGGGGAGCAAACAGGAUUAGAAACCCUAGUAGUCC
rnacentral:rRNA from 1 species